ACAGGCCUCCAGGCGGCACUCUGGUCCCGCCGUCGGCGCGCUCAGGCAGCCCAAGGGGCGCAGACUCACGAAGGCCAGGAUCUUGUCUCUGGGUGUCGCAGCCUCACGUGCUGAACGCAGUGCUUCAGUGGCGGUGCAACUGGCGGGUGGCGGUGGAAUCGUGAGACCUGGAGAAGGGGAAGGGCACUGGGAGAAGGACGCGGACGCCUGCAGGAAGUCAGGCCUGGAAGGCGCUCACAAAGAGCGGGCUGUCCUCUCAGGUACUGCGCCUGCCUGGGCCCAUGAUGGCAGGCCGAGCGGGCAGCAGCGGGUGGCCAGGGAGGCAGAGAGGCCGCAGCGCCAAGGGGCUGGUGGGCUCCCGCGGGAUGGGACGUGCUUUGGAUGAGUGAUUGGGGUGUCCCCCAGGCGGGUGGCCUCUCCGGGUGGUCCUCUCAUUCAGGAGGCUUGCCUUUCCUUCCUUGUCCCUAGUGGGCUGUUUCAGAGGGUGAAGUGUCAGUCAUCACGCUCGCUGUACAGUUCCUGAGGUGGCUCUCCAGGCCUGUGGCUUCCAGGAAGGGAUGUGCGGCCUUCACACAAGAUUCCCCCCAUGAAAUGUGGUGAGUUUCUUCUCUGGCUGUGAUUUCCAACCUGGAAUCGCCUUCAGGAGCAGAAAACGGGACAGUUUAUCCAACGUGAUCUUUCCAGUUUGAGGGGCAUUCUUAGGAUGCAUCUCUCCUGUUUUCUCAUAUGCAUUCAGAAUUUCAGAUUUUCUCAUUUCCUGAUUCUUAAAAGUAGACAUUGACUCCCUUAUUGCACAUAUCAAGUCAUGGCUUUUUGAAACACUGGGUGGAGUGAUUGUCAUCUCACUAGUGCACCAGGUUCUCAAGUAGUAAACUGACCUUCUUCCAUAUGUAGUCCAAUUUUGUAAGGAGAGGGAAUGAAUUUGAAAGUGGGCUGUGUGGUGAUAAUGAACUCUGACCUGAAUGAAAGACGAAUGAGGAAAUGCUUAGAUAGUACACACUGCUUCUAUCAUGAAGAAGUGUGAGUGCAGCCACCAGGUAGGUCUAUGUUGUUGGCAGUAUGAAGCAAUAUAUGCCCAUUACUACUUUGGGGUAGCCAAUAGUAUUUAAGUGUAGGUAGCUUUGACUAAUCAUCCUCAUGUACAGGUUUAUAUUUAUUUCUUCAGGCUAGGUUAGAACAAAAACCAGGACCAUAACCUAAUUCUUGAUCAGUGCUUUAGUCCUAUUAUGUAGCAUGAUAUAUAGUACUCAAUUUUUUUUUCGUGGUUAUGCUCAUUUUAAAUACUUGAUUAAGGAAUUGUCUGCUAGGCCGUUCAUUUGUGAGUUACUCUUUUCCAUUUUGUGAUUAAUGAAUGACUUGUAGGGUAUUUGGGGACUCUAUAUCUUAAUCAUUAUCGUGCUUUAAAUUUACUCACAUUUAUUUUAAUAUAGACUUCUUGAAACUUAUUUUAUUCAGUGGGCUGUAAUGCAUUAUUUCAUUAUUUAGAUUUUCAAGUUGUGCCAGAUAUGAUUAGUAGGAAAUCUAAGUUGGCUUCUCAAUUGGGGCCAUUGUUUGAACACUUUACUUUCCUCUUUGUUUAUUUUUAAAAGUAUAAAUUGGCAAAUUUUAGUUGUAUAUAUUUAUGAUGUAUGAAGUGAUGUUAUAGUUUAUAUACACAGUGUGAAAUAAGCAUACUAACAUAUACAUCAUCUUAAAUACCAGAGUAUUUUUGUGGUGAGAACAUUUGAACAUUAAUGAUAUACAAAUAAGUGUAUGCACACAUGCAUACACUUAUUUGUAUAUCAUUUAUAUUUCAGUGUUUAUUAUUCAUUUGUUCUGAAAUGUUCAUACAAUGAAAUGCAUUUUAAGUCAAAUGUUGUUGAAUUUCAAUAAAUCAAGAUAAUCUAAACUGCUUUCAAGAUAAAGAAUGUUAAACCACACCUGAGAAAGUUCCCUUAUGUCCCUCCUAAUUGAUUUUUCCCACUGAUUAAAGGCAGUAUUCUGUUUUAUCCUACCAUUGAGUGUUUUACUUUGUCUUUUUAGAAUUUUGUAUAAAUCGAUUCUUCUUAAAAAAUUAGUUGUCAUUGGAUCCUUAUUUUGUUUAUUUAUAUUCUGUGCUGACAAUCAAACCCAAUGCCUCACACAUGCUAGCAAGUAUUCUACCAUUGAGCCUCAACCUAGAAACAUAAUGGGUACUUACACUUUUUUGUUAUUGUUUUUGUUUCUUGUUUGUUUUAGUAAAAAUUGAAGGAGAAGUUUUAUUGUUUUCCUAGCAAUAGAGAAACAAUGGGACUCUUGUUCCAGAGGAUAUUGAUUCUGCCCAUCAGGAGGAAUAGGUUUUUUUUUUUUUUUUAAAGAUACAAUUCAAAGGCUACAUUCCACCUAUUUUCUGUUCAAGGAGUUGUAACUCACUUGUUAAUUUAGGAGAUAUUCAUUUCUGAGACCUUCUGGUGCCGUCUUCAAGUCUGAAUUACUUCAUUCUUAUUAUGGAUGUGAGUCUUAUUAGGAUGAGUAAGAAAGUUAUGGGAUCUUACACUCUGUGUCUGAAUCAAUAUGCUUUUGAGGUUCAUCCAUGUUGCUUGAAUCAAUGUUUUGUUUUGUUUUCUAUUUUAUUACUGCAGUAGUAUUCAUUUUAUGAAUAUAUCAUAGUGCAUUUAUUUUUUCCAUUGAAGGACAUGUGAGCAUUUUCCAGGCUUUGAACUUUAUCUUACUAGAUGUAUUGGGGAAAAAUAUGUAUGUGUAUGUGUAUAUGUGUGUGUAUACACACAUAUAUAUGUAUGCAUGUAUAUUUCAUUUAGGUAAAUAACUCAAAGAGUGGAAUGGCUACCACAUAAGGUAGAUCUCUGUUUUGUUUUAAAAGAAACUGUCAAAAAUUCUGAACAUUGUCAUGAGCAAUAUAUGAGAGUUCCAAUUGCUGCAUAUCUUCACAUUGUUUAGUGAUGUUAGUCUUCAUACCUUAGCCAUUUCUGCUGGGUAUAUAGUGGUAUCUCAUUGUGGCUUAGGGUUGUACUCCAUGAUGACUAAUGAAGUUAACAACAUUUGACUGUCUUUUAUUGGCCAGUCAUUCUUUUUCUGUGAAGAAUAGAUUUGGAUCAUGUCUAUUAUUUGUUGAGUUGUCCUGUUAUUACUGAGUUGUAGAAGUAUAUUUAGUAGGACUGGAUAUAGUCCUUUGUCAGAAAAAUGUUUUGUAAUGGGAUUACAGGUAUGACCUACUCAAGUUUUCAACUUUUUUUUUAAACUGAGCCACUACUGUUUCUAUCAAAUCCAUGUUGCCUGAUCACUUAAUGCUGUAUAGACUUAUGCACAGAAUUAGAUAAUAUUUUGAAAAGGUUUUUGUUUGUGUGUGCGUGUGUGUGUGUGUGAAGGAUCCUCAAAAUCAGGGGGCACACCUGUGGUCCCAGCUUAUGGGGAGACUGAGACAGGAGGAUCAUUUGAGUCUCAAAGUUCCACUGGAUUUGUGUGCAUUAUUUUUUAAGCUUUAUUUAAAAUAAUACUUGUAGGGUGUGUGUGUGUGUGUGUGUGUGUGUGUGUGUGUGUGACUGCUUACAAUGAAUAGACAGCUGGAGACCCAUCCAUAACCUUGAGCCCCUGAGCCUCCAUUCAUGACCUUGAGCCCCUUACCCUCCAGAGGUUUUGCAGAAACAAGAAUGUAGCACACAACACCUCCCCAUAAACACACUAUAUUAUUUACUAGACAGGCCAGCUGAAGUAUGGUGUGCCUUUCUAACAAUGUGUGGUUCUAUUUGCAUAUAUAUGACAUCUGUAUUAGAGAAUGCUAAGACAGAACCUGAUGAAGCAGAGUUGCUCUCUUUCUCUUAAAAUAAAACCACAGUCUUGCACCCUUUUAAAAUCACUGGUUUUGUAACAUCCUGAUAUGUUACAUUUGUGAAACCAAGAAUAAGAAUGAUGUAAGAAUGAUGUAAAUAAAAAGCCCACAAAGUAAUGCAUCCAUCUUGCUAGCAACUGUUAUAAGGAUGCAGGUGUGUCACCAAGAAAAGACAAGCCAUUGCCCAGCCACAGUAUGAAAACUCAGGAACUUACCUUUCCCUGGAUCUUUCUUCAAAUCACUCUGCAAGGUGUUUUUUCUCAGAGAUUUAGGGUUUUAACAGCUAACAAGUAUGAGAAGAUCUCUUCAACUUCAGUACUUCUGGUUCUCCCAGGCCUCUGCAAGACUCAGUCUUCAUCUGGGCAUGGUGGUAUACAGCUGUCAUCCAAGCAGCUGGGGAGGCUGAGGAAGGAGGAUCACAUGUACAAAAACAGCCUCAGGAACUUAGCAAGGCUGUAAGCAACUUAGCAAGAUCCUUAAUCAAAAGAAAAAAGAUUUGGUGAUGUGGCCUAGUGGUAGAGUGCCCCUUGGUUUAAUCUCCAGUAACAAAAGAAGAAAAAGGAAAAAGAGGAGGAUAAGAAGAAGGAGGAGGAGGAGGAGGAGGAGGAAGAAGAGGAGACUCAAUCUUUGGACUCAGACUCAGUUUUUACUGUGUGUAAAUGUUAAUAAUUACAUCAUUUAAAAAUGUUUUUAAAAUGAUAAUAGAUAUACUUACUGAAUGUUCACCAUAGUGCUCUAAACCAGAUACCUUCAUUGAGUUUUGCUGAUAUGUCAAUAAUAAACCGACUGACCAUACUAAGAUGUCA
rnacentral:lncRNA from 1 species